rnacentral:rRNA from 3 species
UGGGGAAUAUUGCACAAUGGAGGGAACUCUGAUGCAGCGACGCCGCGUGAACGAAGAAGGCUUUCGAGUCGUAAAGUUCUUUUAUAUGGGAAGAUAAUGACGGUACCAUAAGAAAAAGCCCCGGCUAACUACGUGCCAGCAGCCGCGGUAAUACGUAGGGGGCUAGCGUUGUCCGGAAUCACUGGGCGUAAAGGGUUCGCAGGCGGAAAUGCAAGUCAGGUGUAAAAGGCAGUAGCUUAACUACUGUAAGCAUUUGAAACUGCAUAUCUUGAGAAGAGUAGAGGUAAGUGGAAUUUUUAGUGUAGCGGUGAAAUGCGUAGAUAUUAAGAAGAAUACCGGUGGCGAAGGCGACUUACUGGGCUCAUUCUGACGCUGAGGAACGAAAGCGUGGGUAGCAAACAGG